rnacentral:tRNA from 1 species
UCCCUGGUGGCUCAGACGGUAAAGUGUCUGCCUGCAAUGCUGGAGACCUGGGUUUGAUUCCUGGCUUGGGAA